rfam:Neonectria ditissima strain R09/05 contig_238, whole genome shotgun sequence.
GGGCGAAUGGUUUAGUGGUAUAAUACUCCCUUAGCAUAAUUCGUCUGAAGUAUCUGGGAGUGGUCCAGGGUUCGAUUCCCUGUUCGUCCA